GUAGGAACUAUAGUCACUGGGUGUUCCUGACCGAACCUUUGUAUGGAGUGAGCUUUCUACCUGGGUCAGACUUACUGCAUCCUCCGGUUGGGGUUGGAAAUCAGUCGUACUUUUGCAGGUGCUGGCUCGUCAGUUGCCGGUGCCGGUCAUCAGUCAUCAGUGCUGGUCAUCAGUCACCAGUGCCAGCACAUCAGUCACUGUAUCAUUGGUUUACUGCUAUAACACUUCUUACAGAAGACUGUCACAAAGACGCUUCACAGAAUAACAGAAGAGCAAAAAGGGAAAGGGAAAAUGGCACCCCAAAAUAGCAAGUACAGGAAGUACAAAAUCUCCCCAGUGGAAAUAAAAAC